CUCUAUACUGUCUGAUGCUCUCCCUGCUAUUGCCCCCCUAGUAUUCAGGUGUACAUGGUUGUAUUAUCUGUGCGUGCGAAAGGGACAAGCACGGUCCGGUCGUUACGUGUUCUUAUAAGGUCGUGUCUAGUGAGGACCUUAGUUAUCGACGGGCUGUAGUGAUAUAGUGGGCAGGAGUCCUGUUUCGGAGGGGGAUAUGAGUACUGGGGAGUGUGUUUCCAAUGUCUGUUUAACCUGUG